rnacentral:rRNA from 1 species
GCCUACGGGGGGCAGCAGUGAGGAAUAUUGGUCAAUGGGCGGGAGCCUGAACCAGCCAAGUCGCGUGAGGGAAGACGGUCCUAUGGAUUGUAAACCUCUUUAGGCGGGGAGCAGUGCCGGGCACGUGUGCCCGGAGGGAGAGUACCCGCAGAAUAAGCAUCGGCUAACUCCGUGCCAGCAGCCGCGGUAAUACGGAGGAUGCGAGCGUUAUCCGGAUUUAUUGGGUUUAAAGGGUGCGUAGGCGGAUUUUUAAGUCAGCGGUAAAAUGUCCGGGCUCAACCCGGGCCGGCCGUUGAAACUGGGGG